AGCAGCCGCGGUAAUUCCAGCUCCAAUAGCGUAUAUUAAAGUUGUUGCAGUUAAAAAGCUCGUAGUUGAAUUUCGGGAUUGGCGCAUCGGUCGCGCCUCACGGGGGUAUGAACUGGUGCAGUCAAUUUCUCACCUUCUGGAGAACCGCGAUGUCCUUAAUUGGAUGCCGCGGGGAACCAGGACCUUUACUUUGAAAAAAUUAGAGUGUUUAAAGCAGGCAUUUUUGCUUGAAUACAUUAGCAUGGAAUAAUAAAAUAGGACGGCAUGGUUCUAUUUUGUUGGUUUCUAGGACCACCGUAAUGAUUAAUAGGGAUAGUUGGGGGCAUUAGUAUUCAAUUGUCAGAGGUGAAAUUCUUGGAUUUAUUGAAGACUAACUACUGCGAAAGCAUUUGCCAAGGAUGUUUUCAUUAAUCAAGAACGAAAGUUAGGGGAUCGAAGACGAUCAGAUACCGUCGUAGUCUUGACCAUAAACUAUGCCGACUAGGAAUCAGACGAUGUUAAUUUUUUAAUGACUCGUUUG
rnacentral:rRNA from 1 species